rnacentral:lncRNA from 1 species
CUGAACAACUGAUUUGCAGAUGCGGUUGAGGUUCAGGGAAUGAAUUUGCUUUCCAGGUCUCCAGUGUCCUAAAGAGCUAUGAAAUGGAGAGUUGCGUGAGACGAUGGCCUGUACCUACACUAAGCACCUUGCAUACGGGCAUUCUAUUCCAUUUUUGAGUAAAGAGCUUUUAGAUCCUGCAAGUUCAAGGGGGGGACUUCCCAAAGAGACAAACACUUAGGUGUACUCUGUGCAACCAGUGUGUUCUAUUGACCUGUAACCAAAGUUGCCAGAAUCGCAGGAAGUACCAAAUAUGGACAAGGUGAGCAGAUGAGAAAGAUAAAGUUGACAGGUAGAUGUUUGCUAUUAUGCAAUCUGCAGAUGGUUAAACUAAACAGGAGCAAUAGGCCUUGUGUUCACUUGCUUUUUGCUACAUUUCCCCUCCUCCCAGAGUUGCAGAUAAAAACUAAAAGCAAUGCUUUCUCAUGCAAGCAAAUUCAUCUCUAUGGUAACAUGUUAUAGAGAGGAAGUAAAGUAAAUGUUAUUAGGAAAAGCUGGGUUUGUUUAUCAAACUUAUACUUGAUCCGCUUCCUAAUUCAUUUAACUUACAAAUUCUUGGAGUGCCUUUAUUUGGUUUGUGUCCCAAGGAAACGAGGGGCCCUUGCUGUAUUCUAUGAAGCCUUGAGCCUUUCCUGAGGUCACAGUCUUUAGAUUAGAGACCACUUCCUAGAGCACUUUGACAUGCCUCCCUGUCCCAGGCUAAGCCCAGUAAAAGCAGUCUCUGGUGGGCUGGUUUCAAGAGGUCCUAUCUUAAAGCCUCAGUCCAUCAAAUAAAAGGCUGACCCCAGACCAUUUCUAAGGCCCUUUGCAGCUCAGACUUUCAAGGAUCCUAGUGAAAUAAUCAAGAAUAUGAGCAACAGAUCCAAAUCCAGCUCUGCUUCCAUUUGUGGGCAAUUGUCGCUAGAAUGAGCCCUUAGUAACUGUAUGAAUCUGACCAGGGUCUCUAAUGCCUCCAAGUAAUUCCUAUUCUUCUCUCAAACCAGUCAGUACUUCCUGUUUGAAAAGCAUCUUCCCUCUCCCUUUCUUUUUUCCCCUUCCUGCUUACAGGAAUCCAGCCUCCAGUUCCUGUCCCCAGCUGUUCCUGACCUUGAAACCUUUCCUUGCUUCACCUCAUUGUUUACUUACCUGCCGAGGUGUCUAGGCCUUUCUUUGCUUGGUUGUUUCCUCAACCUGUGAGUCACAAGUUUGCUUCUGGAGGUGACUGAAAGUCAUUUCCUUUACUCAUUACACGUAGUUCAUGUUGUCAUGUGACUAGAUACACACCUAACCGUAUUUCACAACAUCCUGAUCAAGGAGGACUUUCCUAGGUGAAAGCUAAUGUUUUAUUCAUUCAACAAACAUCAACCACCUACUAUGUGGCUAGGGACAAGGAACUCAAAUCAGUCACAGCUUCAGCAUUUUGAAGACUUGGUUAACUGAAACAGACAUGAACAGCUAACAGUGAUUCCACAACAGGGAUGUGUGCAGAGAACUAGAACAUAGAUUGCAGAAUAAUUCUGCCUGAGAGAAAUGAGAAUAUCUCAGAAGAGUCACAGAAGGCCUUGGUCUGGGGCCUUAAAAACAAUGUUCAAGUUUGCAGGCUGAAGAACUGGGGAAAGGGCAUUAGAGACAGGAGGAACAGCCUAAGCAAAGGUGUGAGAAUAAGAGCAUUUUCCAGCUCAGUUUUCAGUAGAAGUACCAUUGUGUAGCAGCACUAUGUUCAGUCCACACACUUGACUGCAUUAAAAGUUGACAAAGAUGACAAAAGGUAUUUGCUCACUAAAAAAUCAUCAACCACUAUUUUAUUACAAGGCUGUGAGCCUGGCCCUCAUUAACUUUAAG